GACGAACGCUGGCGGCGUGCUUAACACAUGCAAGUCGAACGAUGAAGAAGAGCUUGCUCUUCGGACUAGUGGCGAACGGGUGAGUAACACGUGACUAACCUGCCCCUUUCUCUGGGAUAACGCUCCGAAAGGAGUGCUAAUACCGGAUACUCACAUCGAGGCACAUGCCUUGAUGUGGAAAGUUUUUCGGAAAGGGAUGGAGUCGCGGCCUAUCAGCUUGUGGGUGAGGUAACGGCUCACCAAGGCGACGACGGGUAGCCGGCCUGAGAGGGGGACCGGCCACACUGGGACUGAGAAACGGACCAGACUCCUACGGGAGGCAGCAGUGGGGAAUAUUGAACAAUGGGCGAAAGCCUGAUGCAGCGACACCGCGUGAGGGAUGAAGGUCUUCGGAUUGUAAGCCUCUUUCAGUAGGGACGAAGCGAAAGUGACGGUACCUAAAGAAGAAGCACCGGCUAACUACGUGCCAGCCGCCGCGGUAA
rnacentral:rRNA from 1 species